UACGUAGGUGGCAAGCGUUGUCCGGAUUUACUGGGCGUAAAGAGCGCGCAGGCGGUCGUUCAAGUCGCGUGUGAAAGCCCCCGGCUCAACUGGGGAGGGUCACGCGAUACUGAUCGACUCGAAGGCAGGAGAGGGAAGUGGAAUUCCACGUGUAGCAGUGAAAUGCGUAGAGAUGUGGAGGAAUACCGAUGGCGAAGGCAGCCCCCUGGGAUGAUACUGACGCUCAUGCACGAAAGCGUGGGGAGCAAACAGG
rnacentral:rRNA from 1 species